rnacentral:rRNA from 1 species
CAGUCGCCGCGGUAAUACGUAGGGUCCGAGCGUUGUCCGGAAUUAUUGGGCGUAAAGGGCUCGUAGGCGGUUUGUUGCGUCGGGAGUGAAAACCAGGUGCUUAACACCUGGCCUGCUUUCGAUACGGGCAGACUAGAGGCAUUCAGGGGAGAACGGAAUUCCUGGUGUAGCGGUGAAAUGCGCAGAUAUCAGGAGGAACACCGGUGGCGAAGGCGGUUCUCUGGGAAUGUUCUGACGCUGAGGAGCGAAAGUGUGGGGAGCGAACAGGAUUAGAUACCCCCGUAGUCCCUGUCUCUUAUAC